UACGGGGGGAGCAAGCGUUGUUCGGAUUUACUGGGCGUAAAGGGCGCGUAGGCGGCCACUGCAAGUCGGUUGUGAAAUCUCCGGGCUUAACCCGGAAAGGUCAAUCGAUACUGCAGGGCUAGAGUGCGGAAGGGGCAACUGGAAUUCCCGGUGUAGUGGUGAAAUUCGUAGAUAUCGGGAGGAACACCAGUGGCGAAGGCGGCGAUCUGGGAGGAUACUGACGCUGAGGUGCGAAAGCGUGGGGAGCAAACAGG
rnacentral:rRNA from 1 species